rnacentral:lncRNA from 1 species
UAACAUUUCACUUGCGGUCUCUUUCUUCGUGGGCAGAAAAAUGGAUCACACGCCCACAUCUCGGCGGACCCCGAAGCCGCCAUCGAGAUCGGAAAUCUACUCAACAGUCGUAAUUCACGACGACGAUGACGAUGACGAUGACGAUGAAGAGACCAGAUACGACUCAGAUUCCAGAACCAACUAUUCGCAGAACGACGCCGUCAUGGAGGACGACGACUCCCUCCCCCCGCUCCUCAAACGCCUGCCUAAAGAUUUCGGCGCCGCUCCUCCCGAAGACGAUGACGAGGAAGACGGAGAUUUUGGCACUAUGAUCAUCAAAACCAGAACUAAAACCAAAGCUAAAAACAGCCGUACGAUAGUG